rnacentral:tRNA from 1 species
AUCUGGGUAGUGUAGAGGUAUAAGCACUCGCCUACCACCCCAGAGACCCGGGUUCAAUUCCCGGCAGCGGUA